UUAAAAAAAUAAAUAAAUAAAUAAAUUAAGUGAGGUAUAAAAUGGACAUUAUGAAACCCUAAAGCCCAAAACUCAACCAUUUCCCUCAUAUCUCUCUGCGUCCUUUCAAAAAAAAAAACAAUAUCUCUACGCUCCUCCAGACUGACGGCAACCCUUCACUGUCCAACCUUUCACCAGACCGACGACAACCCUUUACUGUCCAACCUUUCACCAGAUCGACGACGAACACCAUGAACCUCGCUGCUCCCUCUCCACCCUAUUGCCCAAGUUAUGGGCUCUCUCGUCUCUCACCCUCACAAUAAUCGCAUCACCGGGAUCUUCAACAGCCAGCGACAGUCAUUCUCUCAGCCACACAGCGGCCGCAUCAAACCAUCUCUCGACCUCUCUCUCUCUCUUUCACAGUCUCAACAACUCCUUCUAGUCAUCUUUCUCUUGUGCUAUCCGGUCACCGUAGGCAAAAAUUGAAGUUGUGGGUGGUCUCGUCGAGUUCUGAAGGCCAAUACCCUUGAGCCACGAAUUCACCACCGUUGUUCCACCUCCGUGAAGAAGUGCAUGCCCGAUUGCUUCUGUGAAGAAGCUCCUUGAGCAGAUCUAAAAAUUCUGUGAAAUUUGUUUUCUGUUAUUUUCUUUUUGUAUUUGUGUACUUUGUUUUUUCUGUAUUUGUAUUUGUAUUUUUAUAGUUUAUAAAAAUUCUGUGGAAAUUUAUGUAUUUCUUUUUCUAUUUUGAUUAUGUAUCUAUAUUAAUUUUUUGAUUGUUGUUUUAAUUAUAAAUUUACAAAAUGGUUUGAGGUACCUAAUAAAUUAUUAAUUUUUGUGUAUGUAUUUUUUCCAAAAAUAAAAUUAUAAAAGUUAUUUUGAGAAAAUUAUAUUA